GGCUCCUUCUGCGCAAGGGCAGCCGUAGCUCCGCCUCCUCAUUCGUCUAAUCUUGGACUGCAGGAAAGCGCUUUGAGAGAACCCCCGGGUCUACUCGGAAAGUAAAGGAUGAGAGCAUGCGCUGAACCACAGUUCUCUACACUCUCCCAAGAUCCACAGAAAAUGAACACACCUCAGGUGAGCUUUUCAUUUAUUCCCUACUUAGUAUUGUAAUGGAUUUUUGAGGUUUAGACAGAUCCAGGUAUUA
rnacentral:lncRNA from 1 species